AUGAAUGCUGGCGGCGUGCAUAACACAUGCAAGUCGAGCGGUAACAUGCUUCUCACCUUGGUUCUAAAUUUAUUUGGAGCUAAAGUGAGAAGUGAUGACGAGCGGCGGACGGCUGAGUAACGCGUGGGAACGUACCCCAAAGUGAGGAAUAACUGCCCGAAAGGGUGGCUAAUGCCGCAUAUGAUCUUCGGAUUAAAGGAUUUAUCCGCUUUGGGAACGGCCUGCGUACGAUUAGAUAGUUGGUGAGGUAAAGGCUCACCAAGUCAACGAUCGUUAACUGGUCUGAGAGGAUGAUCAGUCAGACUGGAACUGAGAUACGGUCCAGACUCCUACGGGAGGCAGCAGUGAGGAAUCUUCCACAAUGGGCGAAAGCCUGAUGGAGCAACGCCGCGUGCAGGAUGAAGGCCUUCGGGUCGUAAACUGCUUUUAAAAGUGAAGAAUAUGACG
rnacentral:rRNA from 1 species